rnacentral:rRNA from 1 species
UUGAAGUUCAGGUAACACUGAAUGGAGGACCGAACCGACUUACGUUGAAAAGUGAGCGGAUGAACUGAGGGUAGCGGAGAAAUUCCAAUCGAACCUGGAGAUAGCUGGUUCUCUCCGAAAUAGCUUUAGGGCUAGCCUCAAGUGAUGAUUAUUGGAGGUAGAGCACUGUUUGGACGAGGGGCCCCUCUCGGGUUACCGAAUUCAGACAAACUCCGAAUGCCAAUUAAUUUAACUUGGGAGUCAGAACAUGGGUGAUAAGGUCCGUGUUCGAAAGGGAAACAGCCCAGACCACCAGCUAAGGUCCCAAAAUAUAUGUUAAGUGGAAAAGGAUGUGGCGUUGCCCAGACAACUAGGAUGUUGGCUUAGAAGCAGCCAUCAUUUAAAGAGUGCGUAAUAGCUCACUAGUCGAGU